GCCCUCGUAGCUCAGGUGGAUAGAGCGAUUGUUUCCUAAACAAUAGGUCGCAGGUUCGAAUCCUGCCGGGGGCA
rnacentral:tRNA from 1 species